rnacentral:rRNA from 1 species
GACGAACGCUGGCGGCGUGCUUAACACAUGCAAGUCGAACGGGAUUUAGUAAACAGAAACCUCGGUGGAAGAUUACUAAUGAGAGUGGCGAACGGGUGAGUAACGCGUGAGCAACCUGCCUAUGACAGUGGGAUAGCCUCGGGAAACCGGGAUUAAUACCGCAUAAAAUCGUAGAAACACAUGUUUUAACGGUCAAAGAUUUAUCGGUCAUAGAUGGGCUCGCGUCUGAUUAGCUAGUUGGUGAGAUAACAGCCCACCAAGGCGACGAUCAGUAGCCGGUCUGAGAGGAUGAACGGCCACAUUGGAACUGAGACACGGUCCAAACUCCUACGGGAGGCAGCAGUGGGGAAUAUUGCACAAUGGGGGAAACCCUGAUGCAGCGACGCCGCGUGAACGAAGAAGGUAUUCGUAUCGUAAAGUUCUGUCCUAUGGGAAGAUAAUGACAGUACCAGAGAAGAAAGCUCCGGCUAAAUACGUG